CAGCCGCCGCGGUAAUACGUAGGGUGCAAGCGUUAAUCGGAAUUACUGGGCGUAAAGCGUGCGCAGGCGGUUCGGAAAGAAAGAUGUGAAAUCCCAGAGCUUAACUUUGGAACUGCAUUUUUAACUACCGGGCUAGAGUGUGUCAGAGGGAGGUGGAAUUCCGCGUGUAGCAGUGAAAUGCGUAGAUAUGCGGAGGAACACCGAUGGCGAAGGCAGCCUCCUGGGAUAACACUGGCGCUCAUGCACGAAAGCGUGGGGAGCAAACAGGAUUAGAUACCCUGGUAGUCCACGCCCUAAACGAUGUCAACUAGCUGUUGGGGCCUUCGGGCCUUGGUAGCGCAGCUAACGCGUGAAGUUGACCGCCUGGGGAGUACGGUCGCAAGAUUAAAACUUAAAGGAAUUGGCGGG
rnacentral:rRNA from 1 species